rnacentral:rRNA from 1 species
AAAACAACUCUCAGCAACGGAUAUCUUGGCUCUUGCAACGAUGAAGAACGCAGCGAAAUGCGAUACGUARUGUGAAUUGCAGAAUUCCGCGAAUCAUCGAGUCUUUGAACGCAAGUUGCGYCCGAGGCUUGUCCGAGGGCAUUUCCGCUAGAGCGUCACCG